UGAGAAUUUGUCUCAUUUGCCGCUGCCUU
rnacentral:piRNA from 1 species